rnacentral:rRNA from 1 species
UCGAACGAGAAAGCCCUUCGGGGUGAGUACAGUGGCGAACGGGUGAGUAACACGUGGGCAAUCUGCCCCUCGCAGGGGGACAACCGGGGGAAACCCCGGCUAAUACCCCGUACGCUUACGGAGCCGCAUGGCUCCGUAAGGAAAGGUAGCUUCGGCCAUCCGGCGAGGGAUGAGCCCGCGGUGCAUUAGCUAGUUGGUGAGGUAACGGCUCACCAAGGCGACGAUGCAUAGCUGGUCUGAGAGGAUGAUCAGCCACACUGGGACUGAGACACGGCCCAGACUCCUACGGGAGGCAGCAGUCGGGAAUCUUGCGCAAUGGGCGAAAGCCUGACGCAGCAACACCGUGUGAGCGACGAAGGCCUUCGGGUCGUAAAGCUCUGUUGUUGGGGACGAAGGGUUAGGGGUUAAUAGCCCCGAGCCUGACGGUACCCUUCGAGGAAGCCCCGGCUAACUACGUGCCAGCAGCCGCGGUAAUACGUAGGGGGCGAGCGUUG